CCUACGGGCGGCAGCAGUGGGGAAUAUUGGACAAUGGGGGCAACCCUGAUCCAGCCAUGCCGCGUGUGUGAAGAAGGCCCUCGGGUUGUAAAGCACUUUCAGUGAGGAAGAACGCCUGGUGGUUAAUACCCAUCAGGAAAGACAUCACUCACAGAAGAAGCACCGGCUAACUCCGUGCCAGCAGCCGCGGUAAUACGGAGGGUGCGAGCGUUAAUCGGAAUUACUGGGCGUAAAGCGCGCGUAGGUGGCUUGAUAAGCCGGUUGUGAAAGCCCCGGGCUCAACCUGGGAACGGCAUCCGGAACUGUGAAGCUAGAGUGCAGGAGAGGAAGGUAGAAUUCCCGGUGUAGCGGUGAAAUGCGUAGAGAUCGGGAGGAAUACCAGUGGCGAAGGCGGCCUUCUGGACUGACACUGACACUGAGGUGCGAAAGCGUGGGUAGCAAACAGGAUUAGAUACCCGUGUAGUC
rnacentral:rRNA from 1 species